rnacentral:misc_RNA from 1 species
GAUGAAGAACGUAGUGAAAUGCGAUAAGUAAUGCGAAUUGCAGAAUUCAGUGAAUCAUCGAAUCUUUGAACGCACAUUGCGCCCGCUAGUAUUCUGGCGGGCAUGCCUGUCUGAGCGUCAUUUCAACCCUCGCCCCCGGCUUUUGCUGGGAGCGGUGUUGGGGAUCGGCCGCCCGUCACUGGGAGGCCGGCCCCGAAAUAGAGUGGCGACCACGCCGUGUGCUCCUCUGCGUAGUAGUAAAUCACCUCGCAGGCGGACAGCGGUGCGGCCUGCCGUAAAACCCCCAACUCUUUCUGGUUGACCUCAGAUCAGGUAGGAAUACCCGCUGAACUUAAGCGUAUCAAUAAGCGGAGGA